AGUAAUGCGUGAGCGAACCUGCCUCGUGGGGGACAACAGUUGAAACGGCUGCUAAUACCGCAUAACGUAUCGUGGAGGCAUCUCCGUGAUACCAAAGAUUUAUUGCCGAGGGAUGGGCUCACGUCUGAUUAGCUUGUUGGUGAGGUAACGGCUCACCAAGGCUGCGAUCAGUAGCCGGACUGAGAGGUUGAAACGGCCACAUUGGGACUGAGAUACGGCCCAGACUCCUACGGGAGGCAGCAGUGGGGAAUAUUGGGCAAAUGGGGGAAACCCUGACCCAGCAACGCCGCGUGAAGGAAGAAGGCUUUCGGGUUGUAAACUUCUUUUAACAGGGAAGAUAAUGACGGUACCUGUUGAAUAAGCCACGGCUAACUACGUGCCAGCAGCGGC
rnacentral:rRNA from 1 species